rnacentral:rRNA from 1 species
GAUGAACGCUGGCGGCGUGCUUAACACAUGCAAGUCGAACGAAGCUGUUGUUUAGAGACCUUCGGGUGGAAGAAUGACAGACUGAGUGGCGGACGGGUGAGUAACGCGUGGGUAACCUACCUUGCACAGGGGGACAACAGUUGGAAACGACUGCUAAUACCGCAUAAGACCACAGUACCGCAUGGUACAGGGGUAAAAACUGAGGUGGUGCAAGAUGGACCCGCGUCUGAUUAGCUAGUUGGUGGGGUAAAGGCCUACCAAGGCGACGAUCAGUAGCCGACCUGAGAGGGUGAUCGGCCACAUUGGGACUGAGACACGGCCCAAACUCCUACGGGAGGCAGCAGUGGGGAAUAUUGGACAAUGGGGGGAACCCUGAUCCAGCGACGCCGCGUGAGUGAAGAAGUAUUUCGGUAUGUAAAGCUCUAUCAGCAGGGAAGAAAAUGACGGUACCUGACUAAGAAGCCCCGGCUAACUACGUGC